rnacentral:rRNA from 1 species
UACAGAGGGUGCGAGCGUUGUUCGGAAUUACUGGGCGUAAAGCGUGCGCAGGCGGCUUUGCAAGACAGAUGUGAAAUCCCCGGGCUCAACCUGGGAACUGCAUUUGUGACUGCAAGGCUAGAGUACGGUAGAGGGGGAUGGAAUUCCGCGUGUAGCAGUGAAAUGCGUAGAUAUGCGGAGGAACACCGAUGGCGAAGGCAAUCCCCUGGACCUGUACUGACGCUCAUGCACGAAAGCGUGGGGAGCAAACAGG